AAAAGACUAUAUAAGCAAGGCCCCCUGGCCCCGGGAGAGCAUACCUCUUCUACAGAAUCAAAGCUAGUGUUUCAAUUCUUCAUCCAAGUAGAAAGGAUCCCUCUAGUUCAUCUAGUUCUAGUUCUAGUUCCUCUAGUUCUAGUUCUAGUUAGUUCUAGUUGCAAUCUAGACAAUAGGGAGAGAGAAGAGGAGGGGAGGAGGAGGAGCCGGAUCUG
rnacentral:lncRNA from 1 species